rnacentral:tRNA from 1 species
AGGUAAGACCCUACCGGCAGGGAAAACUAGCCGAUAACUAGUUUUUAGUUAGUUCGAAUCUAACCUUAUCUUC